GAGAUCAACAGAGGAAGAGCAUGGGUUAGGUGUGGUUAAGUGCGGAAGAGAAUGGCGAUGGUGUCACUGAUGUGAAAUCAGGGCACUAUGCAAAGGGGAGUGGGUUGUGGGUGCUGCAAGGAAAUGGGCGAGGAGGCAGUAAUGCAAUUGUGACGAAGGGAAAUGACGUCGAGCUUGGCAGUGUGGAGAGCAACAAGACUGUGUGAUGACAAGUAUCGAUGGGUGUGGAAGGUUGAGAGUGAGUCUGUGUUGUGUUGUGAGAUUAAAGAUGUAAGAAAGAGGAAGGGAGUUGAGAUAGGGGAGAAGAGAUGAUGGUAGGCGUCGGGGCUGUGAAUA
rnacentral:misc_RNA from 1 species